rnacentral:rRNA from 1 species
CGAACGGGUGAGUAAUACAUCGGAACGUGCCCGAUCGUGGGGGAUAACGAAGCGAAAGCUUUGCUAAUACCGCAUAAGAUCUACGGAUGAAAGCAGGGGACCGCAAGGCCUUGCGCGAACGGAGCGGCCGAUGGCAGAUUAGGUAGUUGGUGGGAUAAAAGCUUACCAAGCCGACGAUCUGUAGCUGGUCUGAGAGGACGACCAGCCACACUGGGACCGAGACACGGCCCAG